rnacentral:rRNA from 1 species
AGUGAACGCUGGCGGCAGGCCUAACACAUGCAAGUCGAGCGGCAGCGGGUUCCCGCGAGGGGAUGCCGGCGAGCGGCGGACGGGUGAGGAACACAUCGGAAUCUGCCUGGUUGUGGGGGAUAACGUAGGGAAACUUACGCUAAUACCGCAUGAGACCCUGAGUCGACGGACUGGGGGUGAAAGUGAGGGACCUUCGGGCCGUCACGCGACCAGAUGAGCCGAUGUCGGAUUAGCUAGUUGGCGGGGUAACGGCCCGCCAAGGCGACGAUCCGUAGCUGGUCUGAGAGGAUGAUCAGCCACACUGGGACUGAGACACGGCCCAGACUCCUACGGGAGGCAGCAGUGGGGAAUCUUGGACAAUGGGCGCAAAGCCUGAUCCAGCCAUGCCGCGU